ensembl:lncRNA
AAAGUGCUUUACACAACCAGUCAUCCACCCAUUCACACACACUGGUGAUGGCAAGCUACAUUGUAGCCACCCUGGGGCGCACUGACAGAGGUGAGGCUGCCAGACACUGGCGCCACCGGGCCCUCUGACCACCACUAGUAGGCAACGGGUGAAGUGUCUUGCCCAAGGACACAACGACCGAGACUGUCCGAGCCGGGGCUCGAACCGGCAACCUUCCGGUUACAAGACAAACUCCCAACUCUUGAGCCACGAUCGCCCCGUUGUAACAUAUUGGCAGUCUUUUUUUUUUCUUUUUUUUUUUGAAAUGCCUGGCACUAUGACACAAAACAAACAGCACCCUGAUUGUAACGUCACGGCAGGUUUUUUAGUCUCAGGGAACAGCCGUAUUUGUGUACAGUGGGUGGGGUCAAUGUUGGAAAAAUGCUCUCAGGUUGCAUCAGUGUUUAAGAAUGUAUCUUAUGCGAAGGUCAGAGAGUAGAGGGGGGGUCAGGAGACUGGAAAAAAGCAGGGUGUGUUAAAAGUGAUUGAUUCUGCUGUGAUGAGCAGAAAGAAAAUCAAGUGUACAAUCAGAGGAAAGGGCAAUUUAAAAAUAGAUAGCAGACUGGAAUCUCAGGUUUACCUGAAGGCAUUACAAGUUCUGACACACCUUUCUCAGCUCUUCUGGAAUCUGGUAUGAAAUAAGAAACAGUUGUAAGUCUGUGCAUUAUGUAUCAGUGCGACUACUGAGGAAGAGAAAGGAAAAUCUAAACUGAAAUAAAAUAUGAGAACUAACGCAACACUGUGAGGUAAUAACAAGCUGACACAUUUUAUGAGUGGGAGUGGAGACGGGGGGGAAAGAGGGCAGGGCAGUAAAGGGGAAAUGGGAGUGGAAGUCGCAAACAGAGUUUCACCAAAGGCUAUUCUUCCUGUCAUUCAACAGCUUGUGUAGAACAGGAACAGAUCAGGUUUAUGUCGUCUCUCUACAAUCACAGUAGCGCUCUUUGGAUGUCCAUUUGUAAAUAUUUAACUGAAAUCUUCACAUAUUAAAGGAAGGCAGCUCGAGUUGGAAAAGACCUGCUGACCAUCUCAACAAGGCUUUGAUAUCACUCUGAGAAGAAGCCGGACAAACUUUGAACAAAGAUCAGACUGAGGAGUGGAUUCAGGACACUGCCUUUUAAAACUUGCUCAGAGAUGUCAGAGUCAUCCCAGAACCAUCUAAACAACCUUGAAAGUCUUCCACUGACUACUGUAACAGGAACAGGUCUUCAACAACCCGAGGAAACCUGCAGUCAAGUAAUCUGUGAGGACUCUACUGCGUCCUGCUGCAAUGACAAGUACCACAGGAAACUGGCCGUCUGUAGCAUCAUCUGCGGGUUUUCCUGCUGCGGAGUCCCAGCUUUGAUUUAUUCUGUCAAGGCUGAGGAUGCUGAAAAAGCUGAGAAGGCCGAGCCGACGACAGACAGGAGAGCUCCAGAGUAUUUAAGACAGGCCAAAAAAUGGGGCAUCAUCUCCAUCGUGACGUGGGUUUCCGUUCUAGUGUCAGCUCCAUUGCUGCUGGCACUGGGCUCAUAUCUCGCCACUUUGAUUGACUGAUCAACCUCAAAGGAGAACAGCCAGAGGAGUGUCUCUGCUGAUGUUUAAGGAGACGGACAGUGGAGAGCAGGAAGCUGCUGAAUCAAUGGCUACGAACACCAAAGCUGUGGAGAAACUACAGGUUACAUUAAAUGGAAAAAGGCUGUCUUGGUUUUUCUUACGCUGAAAUGGGUGCUGUCCUAAUUUAUACUUUUCUAGCUCCUUUAGUUUUUACACAAAGAACAAACAUCUUUCAAAAUAGUAUUAAAUGUCUAACAACUGUUUUUGUUAUAUGCUGUGAUAUUUAUUAAACCAUCUGUUGACCCGUGGACUAUACGAACGUACAUGUAUAUAUUAUAGAUUGAAGACUAAAGCUGUUAUAUAUAAUAUAAAGCUACUUAAAUGUAAAGCUGCUCCCGUAAAGACUCAAUCCUUAAUAUUCUUACAGUUAUACUUUAACUUUCUUACUGUAGAUGACUACAGAUGCUAUAUAAGUUAAUCAAUCAAUCAACAAGUCACUUUAAAAUGAGGCAACUUGUGACUUUAGGAUUGAGUCUCUACUGGAGAUAAAAUGCGAGGCAGUGAUUGGGGCAGUGCUUUAUCAGGACAUUAUGAGGUCCUGUUCUUGCUAUUUUAGUUUAUUAAUGUCAAAUGUAUAUAUAUGCUGCACUUUUAUACAAACAUUAACAAACAAUUUUAUAAUAAAAUGAGGAAACUUUUAUGGUCUUCAUCCACUUGAAACAUUUUAACAUGUACUCAUUAAAAAAACGUUGCCAUGGGAUUAUUGCAUUGUUACAAUAUUUACUUCAUUAAUGUCAAAUGUAUAUAUAUACACAUGUUGUACUUUUAUACAAGCAUUAACACAAGCUGUUUUCUAAUAAAAUGACAGAUUUUUUAUGCUUUGA